rnacentral:rRNA from 1 species
UUUAUAAAGAGUUUGAUCCUGGCUCAGGACGAACGCUGGCGGCGCGCCUAACACAUGCAAGUCGAACGAGCGAGAGAGAGCUUGCUUUCUCAAGCGAGUGGCGAACGGGUGAGUAACGCGUGAGGAACCUGCCUCAAAGAGGGGGACAACAGUUGGAAACGACUGCUAAUACCGCAUAAGCCCACGACCCGGCAUCGGGUAGAGGGAAAAGGAGCAAUCCGCUUUGAGAUGGCCUCGCGUCCGAUUAGCUAGUUGGUGAGGUAACGGCCCACCAAGGCGACGAUCGGUAGCCGGACUGAGAGGUUGAACGGCCACAUUGGGACUGAGACACGGCCCAGACUCCUACGGGAGGCAGCAGUGGGGAAUAUUGCACAAUGGGGGAAACCCUGAUGCAGCGACGCCGCGUGGAGGAAGAAGGUCUUCGGAUUGUAAACUCCUGUUGUUGAGGAAGAUAAUGACGGUACUCAACAAGGAAGUGACGGCUAACUACGUGCCAGCAGCCGCGGUAAAACGUAGGUCACAAGCGUUGUCCGGAAUUACUGGGUGUAAAGGGAGCGCAGGCGGGAAGGCAAGUUGGAAGUG